rnacentral:sRNA from 1 species
UUUCCAAAUCAUCCUCGUCCGAAAUU